UUUUCCCCGGGAGGAAGCAAGAGCCAUGUACAUCUGUGAGAGAGGGAAAACCUGGCCCUUUUUUAUUUCAAGUUGGUGUGGCAUUUCAGUUUUACCCAUUGGAAAGACCUGCCUGAGAUGAAGCAAAAACAGUUGUGGAUCUUGGCAGUCUGAGCUGGUCUACGGUUUCUGUGAACGCCUGGAUGCGGUUCUUCCCCGGGCUUUAUGGGUUACGCAAAUCAUGUCCCAUUAUACAGAGCUCCCUUCAACAUGGUCUCGGCUAAUUUCUCAGCCUCUGCAUCGCAAUUGCUAACAAUUUAAUCACCUUACAAACGUCUGCAGUGACUAACACCACAUCUAUGUUUUUGGCACACCAUGGCCAGCAGUUGUUUUAGCAACAGCGGUAUGUAAAGCAGACGCACUAUUUGUGAGGCUCAGAGCCCUUAAAAAAAAAAUCAUUCCUUUCUCUCUGGGCUAUCGACAUUCCUGAGCACUCACGAUGCAGCUGCCGAGCCGCUGGACAGCCCACAUAUGGCCGUGCGCUGAACAAUAGCGACUCGUUGUUGUUCUUGUUAGACGCAUCACCAUAUGUGUUUAUUAGAAACAGCAAUAAAAUUAUGACGGGCUUCUUCAGCUAUCCUGGCUGCUUGGGGAAAAGAAAAGCGAGGGAGUAAGCAGGAUAAAACCAGAGGAUUGUCCCCAGCUUUGGGGGAGCUGGAUGGUGGGCUGGUGUAGUCCCACUCUUCAGGGCAGUGUGGUUGUUUAUUUAUUGGUAAUAUUGCCAAAUUAAUAUUGCUCCUAUGAAUGGACAUCAAGCCUCAGUCCCCUCUUAUUCCCUUUUAUUAGAGAAUUGCUGGAAACUUGGAAAAACUGAAUCCCGAAGCUGGAUGCUGUUCCACCAGGGCUCGCCUGUGUGCAGCCCGACCUGUGCCACACAGGAGAAACCUCCCAAUAUUUCAAAAAGCCUUGGACCAGGACCACACUUGGUCUGUACUUCUAUCAUGAGCACAACCAUCUACUGUGAGAUCAGCUUCAGUUUUGGACUGCCUUCAAAUGACUUCCAAAUGGCAGAAAUUUGGUCUGGGGACUCACUGUUCUUUUGAUGGAGGGGUUGAGGAGGGUACCAGAAGCCCAAAAGAAACACAGAAAUGAGGCCCAGGGAAGGCUGGUUGAAGUUGAAAGAGGAGAUGAACUAAGCCAGUCAAACUGAACAUCUGAAUCCUCACGUGCUCCAAAUUCUCUAUGAUUUCACUCUGCUUCCAGAAUUCACUAUAUUUUAAAGCAAAAAGUGGGAAAAAUGAACUUUGGGAGCAAACCCAGUGGAGUUAGAAAUAAGAUCUAUCUCAAUAUGUAACAUAACAUAAUUUUGAUAUCCGUAUUAUUAUAAGAUGUCUUCAGAUACCUGGAAAUCAAUGGGAUUGAGUACUUACAUCCAAAGGCAAAACCAGCUUCUGCAUACACAAUCUGCAUUUUUUUUUCACGUUCAAAUCUUGAUUUUUCUUGACAAUAAGGGUAUUUUCCAUCUUGCUGACUUGUUGUGUCCAAAAUAACAAAUCUUAGUCACCACUGAAAAAAAAAAUAAUUUUAAAAAUGAGUUUGCAAUGCUGACUUGUAUCAGUUUUCUGUGACCUUCCAACUGUGGUAAGAAUGCCAUUUCCACUCUUACUUCACUUCUUUUUCACUUCCUACCCAUAAAAGUAAACAAUUCAAGAUGAUGUUUUACAUCUUUGAAAAGUUCCCAAAAUAGGAUUUUCCACUGAGGCUGCAACUCCCUUGGCUUGCUUUUACUCUUCUAUUUUUUUUUUGUAGCACAAAUCAAUUUUGUGACUAUAUUGAAACUGCAAUGCUAAAUUCUGUUACCUUUAACUAUGUUGCUAACAGAAUAAAUUGUGUAGUUACUCAAA